GGUUGACCUCGGAUCAGGUAGGGAUACCCGCUGAACUUAAGCAUAUCAAUAAGCGGAG
rnacentral:rRNA from 8 species